CAGGAACUAGAGAAAAUGCUGCUUAUCUAACGCAAAGCUCACACUUAACGCCGGCAAAUCAGUGUCCUCGGGAAGAACAACACAGGAAACGGGACGUUGCAAACACCAGGCUUUAUCUUCGGAUAGUGUUCAACAACAAAGAAGUCUGUAAGACAAAGCCGAGGGCUCUCAGUCAAGACUUUACGGUGACCUGGGGGCAGAUAUUUACCCUGCGUGUGCUGCAGUUUCCGCAGUCGCUUACGGUGGAGGUCCACGAAUCUCAUGGCAUCACGUCGCAGAAGCUAGCAGAUGUGCUGUUGCCGGUGCCGGAUGAAGAGCAGACCGUCGAGAAGGCGCAUCUCUCCACGAUCCAUUUCGCGAGCGACAUCGUUGUUACUUCGACGCAAGCAGGCGUCGGG